GACGUAGGAUGCGAGCGUUGUCCGGAUUUAUUGGGCGUAAAGAGUUCGUAGGUGGUUUGUUAAGUCUGAUGUUAAAGACUGGGGCUCAACCUCGGAAAUGCAUUGGAUACUGGCAGACUUGAGUGUGGUAGAGGCAAGCGGAAUUCCAGGUGUAGCGGUGAAAUGCGUAGAUAUCUGGAAGAACACCGGUGGCGUAAGCGGCUUGCUGGGCCAUAACUGACACUGAGGAACGAAAGCUAGGGUAGCGAAUGGG
rnacentral:rRNA from 2 species